rnacentral:rRNA from 1 species
CCAAACUCGUUGCCUCGGCGGGAUCUCUGCCCCGGGUGCGUCGCAGCCCCGGACCAAGGCGCCCGCCGGAGGACCAACCAAAACUCUUUUUGUAUACCCCCUCGCGGGUUUUUUUAUAAUCUGAGCCUUCUCGGCGCCUCUCGUAGGCGUUUCGAAAAUGAAUCAAAACUUUCAACAACGGAUCUCUUGGUUCUGGCAUCGAUGAAGAACGCAGCGAAAUGCGAUAAGUAAUGUGAAUUGCAGAAUUCAGUGAAUCAUCGAAUCUUUGAACGCACAUUGCGCCCGCCAGUAUUCUGGCGGGCAUGCCUGUCCGAGCGUCAUUUCAACCCUCGAACCCCUCCGGGGGGUCGGCGUUGGGGAUCGGCCCUGCCUUGGCGGUGGCCGUCUCCGAAAUACAGUGGCGGUCUCGCCGCAGCCUCUCCUGCGCAGUAGUUUGCACACUCGCAUCGGGAGCGCGGCGCGUCCACAGCCGUUAAACACCCAACUUCUGAAAUGUUGACCUCGGAUCAGGUAGGAAUACCCGCUGAACUUAAGCAUAUCAAUAAGCGGAGGAA